rnacentral:ncRNA from 2 species
UCUAUAUUGAAAAUGUGAGGUACCUAUAGUUUAAAUGGGAAAAAGGUGAGAUGCCUUUACAGCCCCCGCUACUGUGUGUAGGGAUGAAAUCUUUAGAGCCACUGAAAGAAAAGUAUUUCUUUUGGGAAGGGAAGAGAGUAAGAAGAUCUACAAGUCAGGAGACCUGCCUUAUAUUAUAUUUUAUC